GCUGUGAGCUCUGGAAGAUUUCUGUGCUCAUUGACCUUUAAGCAUUUGCGUCUUGACAGGCACGGAGAGAAUUCUCACUGAAGAGCUGUGCCCCAAAUAGCCUCGGAAGCUUGCUGAUUGGGAAGUCCUUGCUGCAUGGAAGGAAGGGCCAUGGUGUCCUCUUCAAGAAGAUUUGGUCUUCCCAUUCUUCCUCUCUGAGCUGGUGAGCGUGACAGCACACAGGAAAGGCGCCCUCAUGUUGAAAAGACCUGAAGUCAAGACUUUCUCCUUGAUGGCAAUGCUAUGUAAUGGCGUGGGAGAAAGAGGAUUCCAGAGAACCUGAAUCUCAUCCACGUCUGCUGCUCUGACAGCUCCGUGCCUCCCUGUGUGUGUUGGACGCAGUUGGGUUUUCUAUAGCAGCUGUGUUUGUGGACAUCAUCCCCCAGUGGAAGGGGGCAGAGGCAUCACAUUAUAUAGCCUCAGCAGAGAAAAGGAUUUUUCUCAACCUAAUGGAAUGAUGUCUGGCAGAACAAGGAUGAGUCCAGGACCUGGCUGUUGCUGUGACCACCCUGACCUGCAGAGAAGCUCCAGACUCGAUUCUCUAACAACGCAGGAGAUCGGUUCAGAGUCAGUUACUCCGUCACCUCCACGCUC
rnacentral:lncRNA from 1 species